rnacentral:tRNA from 1 species
CUUUGUUUAGCUUAAGUUUAGAGCAUCUGUUUGAAGCGCGGAAAGUAUCGUUAUGGUAAUAAAGU